GAUGAACGCUAGCGGCAGGCCUAAUACAUGCAAGUCGGACGGGAUUCAGGAGCUUGCUUCUGAUGAGAGUGGCGCACGGGUGCGUAACACGUAUGUAACCUACCUUUAUCAGGGGGAUAGCCUCUCGAAAGAGAGAUUAAGCCCGCAUAAAAUCACAGCACAGCAUUGUGUAAUGAUCAAAUAUUUAUAGGAUAAAGAUGGGCAUGCGGAACAUUAGCUAGAUGGCGGGGUAACGGCCCACCAUGGCGACGAUGUUUAGGGGAUCUGAGAGGAUGGCCCCCCACACUGGUACUGAGACACGGACCAGACUCCUACGGGAGGCAGCAGUAAGGAAUAUUGGUCAAUGGACGGAAGCCUGAACCAGCCAUGCCGCGUGCAGGAAGACGGCCCUACGGGUUGUAAACUGCUUGUAUACGGGAAUAAACCCAGAUACGUGUAUCUGGCUGAAUGUACUGUAAGAAUAAGGAUCGGCUAACUCCGUG
rnacentral:rRNA from 1 species